AGCGAACGCUGGCGGCAGGCCUAACACAUGCAAGUCGAACGAACCUUUCGGGGUUAGUGGCGGACGGGUGUGUAACACGUGGGAACGUGCCUUUAGGCUCGGAAUAACUCAGGGACACUUGUGCUAAUACCGAAUGUGCCCUUCGGGGGCAAGAUUUAUCGCCGUUAGAGGGGCCCGCGUCUGAUUAGCUAGUUGGUUGAGGUAAUGGCUCACCAAGGCGACGAUCAGUAGCUGGUCUGAGAGGAUGAUCAGCCACAUUGGGACUGAGACACGGCCCAAACUCUUGCGGGAGGCAGGAGUGGGGAAUCUUGCGCAAUGGGCGAAAGCCUGACGCAGCCAUGCCGCGUGAAUGAUGAAGGUCUGAGGAUUGUAAAAUUCUUUCACCGGGGACGAUAAUGACGGUACCCGGAGAAGAAGCCCCGGCUAACUUCGUG
rnacentral:rRNA from 1 species